rnacentral:lncRNA from 1 species
AUAAGAUUCGGGAGAUUAUUAUUAUUAUAAGAUUAAAGGAGAUUAAGGAUUAAGGAUAAAAUGCGAGAAAAGUGUCUCAGGGUUUGAGGCCUAGUUUGGAACUUGGAGCCAGAGUUCCUGCUGGAAUUCUGAGAUCCUGAGAAGGGUUGGAGUUUCCACCUGUCAGAGUCUCUGGAAUCUGAGCUUGGCUCUGGAGGCUGGUGGUUGUUGGAUCUCUGGGAUUUUCCUUGAAAACCUUGGGAAUACCAGAUUGACAGUUUGGAAGAGAAAAAAUGCAAGUUCCCUACCAAAUUCUAUAUGGAAUAGCUGCAUCAACUAAACAAAGUAAUGGAACCAGUAUGUGUUCUACCUCCCCCUCCUCUCAAUGGAACAGGGCAUACCCUAGGAAGACUUCUUCCUCAUAUCUCUAAGAAUGUCUGAAUUCCCUAAAUAAGCUUUUUUUUUCAGAGUUUACUUCUCUGUCUUCUUUGUGGAAGAGGCAUGAAGAAAGAGAGGACUUACAAGACAAGACAAGCAUGCAAGAAACAAAGCUGGGGACCUGAUCUGCUAAUCAAGGUGAAGAUUCCAAAUGGAAUGUUCCCAGGAGAGGCAGUUGGAGCUGGCCAGAGGAGAUGAACUGAGGAGAUUUGGGCUCUUUGGGUUUUCUGACCAAAGGAGAGAGACUGGCUUUUCCUGAUCUAGGCAGAGAGAGAAACCUUUGUGGUUUUUGACAGAGUUUGGACUUGAAUUACUCAAACAGAGAUUAUCUGACUGAAGAAGGAAGAAGAUUUAACAGUUGUCCUCCAUCUCUCUGGCUGUCUCUGAGUCACAAUUGUGACUAGACUGACAUUUCCCCAAAUCUCCUAAUUCUCCUUGUAGACUAGGGACACCCCUAUCCCACUCACCUUCAAUUUCCAUCCUGUUGUUCCCAAUAAACCCCUUUAUUUGAGAAAGAAAGAGUGAAGA